AGCGAACGCUGGCGGCAGGCUUAACACAUGCAAGUCGAGCGGGCGUAGCAAUACGUCAGCGGCAGACGGGUGAGUAACGCGUGGGAACAUACCUUUUGGUUCGGAACAACACAGGGAAACUUGUGCUAAUACCGGAUAAGCCCUUACGGGGAAGAUUAUCGCCGAAGAUUGGCCCGCGUCUGAUUAGCUAGUUGGUGAGGUAACGGCUCACCAAGGCGACGAUCAGUAGCUGGUCUGAGAGGAUGAUCAGCCACAUUGGGACUGAGACACGGCCCAAACUCCUACGGGAGGCAGCAGUGGGGAAUAUUGGGACAAUGGGCGCAAGCCUGAUCCAGCCAUGCCGCGUGAGUGAUGAAGGCCCUAGGGUUGUAAAGCUCUUUUGUGCGGGAAGAUAAUGACGGUACCGCAAGAAUAAGCCCCGGCUAACUUCGUGCCAGCAGCCGCAGUAAU
rnacentral:rRNA from 1 species